rnacentral:rRNA from 1 species
GACGAACGCUGGCGGCGCGCCUAACACAUGCAAGUCGAACGAGCGAGAGAGAGCUUGCUUUCUCGAGCGAGUGGCGAACGGGUGAGUAACGCGUGAGGAACCUGCCUCAAAGAGGGGGACAACAGUUGGAAACGACUGCUAAUACCGCAUAAGCCCACGGGUCGGCAUCGACCAGAGGGAAAAGGAGCAAUCCGCUUUGAGAUGGCCUCGCGUCCGAUUAGCUAGUUGGUGAGGUAACGGCCCACCAAGGCGACGAUCGGUAGCCGGACUGAGAGGUUGAACGGCCACAUUGGGACUGAGACACGGCCCAGACUCCUACGGGAGGCAGCAGUGGGGAAUAUUGCACAAUGGGGGAAACCCUGAUGCAGCGACGCCGCGUGGAGGAAGAAGGUCUUCGGAUUGUAAACUCCUGUUGUUGGGGAAGAUAAUGACGGUACCCAACAAGGAAGUGACGGCUAACUACGUGCCAGCAGCCGCGGUAAAACGUAGGUCACAAGCGUUGUCCGGAAUUACUGGGUGUAAAGGGAGCGCAGGGCGGGAAGACAAGUUGGAAGUGAAAUCUAUGGGCUCAACCCAUAAACUGCUUUCAAAACUGUUUUUCUUGAGUAGUGCAGAGGUAGGCGGAAUUCCCGGUGUAGCGGUGGAAUGCGUAGAUAUCGGGAGGAACACCAGUGGCGAAGGCGGCCUACUGGGCACCAACUGACGCUGAGGCUCGAAAGUGUGGGUAGCAAACAGGAUUAGAUACCCUGGUAGUCCACACCGUAAACGAUGAUUACUAGGUGUUGGAGGAUUGACCCCUUCAGUGCCGCAGUUAACACAAUAAGUAAUCCACCUGGGGAGUACGACCGCAAGGUUGAAACUCAAAGGAAUUGACGGGGGCCCGCACAAGCAGUGGAGUAUGUGGUUUAAUUCGACGCAACGCGAAGAACCUUACCAAGUCUUGACAUCCCUUGACAGACAUAGAAAUAUGUAUUCUCUUCGGAGCAAGGAGACAGGUGGUGCAUGGUUGUCGUCAGCUCGUGUCGUGAGAUGUUGGGUUAAGUCCCGCAACGAGCGCAACCCUUAUGGUCAGUUACUACGCAGGAGGACUCUGGCCAGACUGCCGUUGACAAAACGGAGGAAGGUGGGGAUGACGUCAAAUCAUCAUGCCCUUUAUGACUUGGGCUACACACGUACUACAAUGGCGUUAAACAAAGAGAAGCAAGACCGCGAGGUGGAGCAAAACUCAGAAACAACGUCCCAGUUCGGACUGCAGGCUGCAACUCGCCUGCACGAAGUCGGAAUUGCUAGUAAUCGUGGAUCAGCAUGCCACGGUGAAUACGUUCCCGGGCCU